rnacentral:sRNA from 1 species
AAGGGACUAGCGUAGUUCGGAAUUACUGGGCUUAAAGAGUUCGUAGGUGGUUGAAAAAGUUGGUGGUGAAAUCCCAGAGCUUAACUCUGGAACUGCCAUCAAAACUUUUCAGCUAGAGUAUGAUAGAGGAAAGCAGAAUUUCUAGUGUAGAGGUGAAAUUCGUAGAUAUUAGAAAGAAUACCAAUUGCGAAGGCAGCUUUCUGAAUCAUUACUGACACUGAGGAACGAAAGCAUGGGUAGCGAAGAGGAUUAGAUACCCUCGUAGUCCAUGCCGUAAACGAUGUGUGUUAGACGUUGGAAAUUUAUUUUCAGUGUCGCAGGGAAACCGAUAAACACACCGCCUGGGGAGUACGACCGCAAGGUUAAAACUCAAAUGAAUUGACGGGGACCCGCACAAGUAGUGGAGCAUGUGGUUUAAUUCGAAGAUACGCGCAGAACCUUACCAACACUUGACAUGUUCGUCGCGACUCUAAGAGAUUAGAGUUUUCGGUUCGGCCGGACGAAACACAGGUGCUGCAUGGCUGUCGUCAGCUCGUGUCGUGAGAUGUUGGGUUAAGUCCCGCAACGAGCGCAACCCUCACUUUUAGAUGCCAUCAUUAAGUUGGGCACUCUAGAAGAACUGCCAGUGAUAAGCUGGAGGAAGGUGGGGAUGACGUCAAGUCCUUAUGGCCCUUACGUGUUGGGCUACACACGUGCUACAAUGGCAUCUACAACAGGAAGCAAAACGGCAACGUUAAGCAAAUCCCGAAAAGAUGCCUCAGUUCGGAUUGCACUCUGCAACUCGAGUGCAUGAAGCUGGAAUUACUAGUAAUCGUGGAUCAGCGUGCCACGGUGAAUGCGUUCCCGGGUCUUGUACACACCGCCCGUCACACCAUGGGAGUUGGUUCUACCUUAAGGCAAGGUUUUAAACCCUUGACCACGGUAUAGUCAGCGACUGGGGUGAAGUCGUAACAAGGUAGCCGUAGGGGAACCUGCGGCUGGAUUACCUCCUUUCUAAGGAUGAGUGAAAGUAAAAUUUCACUCUAAAUAAUAUACAUCGGUAAUGUUGACCGUCCUCAUUUCUCUUCUUAAAGUAAUGUUUCCUUCUUGUAGGGCCGGUAGCUCAGUUGGUUAGAGCACACCCUUGAUAAGGGUGGGGUCGAAAGUUCGAGUCUUUCUCGGCCCACCAAAAACCUAAAUGGGGGGAUUAGCUCAUCUGGGAGAGCGCCUGAUUUGCAUUCAGGAGGUAGCAGGUUCGAUCCCUGUAUCCUCCACCAGGAAACAUUUAGUUAUUAAAACUGUAAAUAAAAAUAAUUUAUAUCAAUAUCUAUAUCCGAACAUUAAAAGUUAUUAUUUAAUGUUCAAAAUAAAAAUUUGAUCACAACAUAGAUAAAUUUUCUGUUAAAAGAAUUUUUUUCUGUGCAUAAAUCAAGCGUUUAAGGGCGUGUAGUGGAUGCCUUGGCACUGAAAGCCGAUGAAGGACGUGAUAUACUGCGAUAAGUUUCGGGGAGCUGUAUGUAAGCUUUGAUCCGAAAAUUU